rnacentral:rRNA from 1 species
AUUGAACGCUGGCGGCAGGCCUAACACAUGCAAGUCGAACGAGUGGCGGACGGGUGAGUAAUGUCUGGGAAACUGCCUGAUUGAGGGGGAUAACUUCUGGAAACGGUAGCUAAUACCGCAUACCCUCGGAUGUGCCCAGAUGGGAUUAGCUAGUAGGUGGGGGAAAGGCUCACCUAGGCGACGAUCCCUUGCUGGUCUGAGAGGAUGACCAGCCAAACGGGAACUGAGACACGGUGCAGACGCCUACGAGAGGCAGCAGUGGGGAAUAUUGCACAAUGGGCGAAAGCCUGAUGCAGCCAUGCAGCGUGUAUGAAGAAGGCCUUCGGGUUGUAAAGUACUUUCAGCGGGGAGGCGUUACCCGCAGAAGAAGCACCGGCUAACUCCGUGCCAGCCGCCGCGGUAAUAC